rnacentral:lncRNA from 10 species
CUCCCUUAUCAGACAAGCAGCAGGGCCAGCCAGGAGUGCCACAUUUUAUGGCUCUAUCAUGUGUGAGAUCUUGCCCAUUAGGGAGAAGCUGUCAACACAAAACAUAGAUUUCAAGAUACGCUUUCUACUCCAGGAUUAUGAAUAACCUCUUCGAUCAUUAGAACCAGAGCAUUUUUUAAAAAUCCAAUUUGUUUCCCACUUCAGAACCCAUUUAGUUUGCUUCUUGCCCUCCCUCUGGGUUAGGGAGGGAGGGCUGGAGGCUGGAGCCUUCCAGAAUCCUGGCUCUGGAAACCUUGCACCCCCAGAAAUUGUGCAGGUUUUUCAUCUGAAACCUUGAUUUUCCUAGGAAUCAUCUGUUAUCCAUUUCCUAUAACCCAGCUGUGUAUUUCUGUUGGAAGGUAUUACCUUUAUAAUCAGACAGAGCUUCAGGGAGCCCUGUGGAGUGGGCAGCAUCCCCCAGAGGGCCAAGGGGAGAUAUUCCAGACAGUCUUCCAGCAGAGAAGUUUGGGAAGAUGCUGAUUUCAUCUGUCCAGUCCUAAAGCAAUGCACUAAUCCAAAAUUAAACGAAAACAAAAAUAUUCACCAGGCAAAGGAGUGUGAAAAAUCCCCAUUUCUGUCUCUCUCUCCUCAUCAGCAGUGGAAACCGGGGCUUCCUAGAAGAAACGAUGCACUCCCCACCUCCCUCUGUUUGUGCUGCAGUGAAAACUGACACGAGAGAUUCAUUGGAACAUGUGCCCUCGUUCCACUCUCAUCAGCCCACCGCAGGGACAGGAGCUGUUCAUCUUUUUGGCUGUGCUCGCAGCCUCCAGAACACUUAUGAGGGGCACCUUGUGGGCGCCGUGGUCGGAUGAGGCCCCUGGGGCUCUUCCAGAGGCUGGCACUCUCUGCAGUUGUCGCUCACAUACCUGCUCAGGCCAGGCCAGGCCAGAGUGGACAAUGUCUUCCCAGCAGGCCAGACCAGUCUCCCAGGAGGCUGAGGCUGCUGUAUCACUCACCAAACCCUCUCAUCUGCCGGCCUGACCCUGUGCUAUGCUGGAAAUAGCACUCGAGCCAGACGCCCUCCCUGACUUGGACAAGGGCAGUGCCCUGGAAGGAGAGGGCACAGAAGCAGCUGUUUACAGAACCUCCGAGGGCUGCAAUGGGGCAAUGGGGUGUGCAGGAGAGUGACCAGGAGCCCGGGGCAGCUGGUGACCCACCCCUCCAGGCAUUCGUGAGGUGUCAGAAGAGGGGGCCCCUUGAACGGGGCCUGCAGAGAUGGCUAAGAGUCCAUCAGGCAGAUGAAAUGAUUUGCUUUCUUCACACUUACCAAGCUUAGAAAUGACCUCCUUCAUGCAUGUGAAUGACUUUAUUCAUGUAUAUGACUCACCUUCCUCAUGCAUGUGAUGAUCUUAUUGUAUGUGACUCACUUUCAUGCACGUGAUGACCUUAUCCAUGUAUGUGACUCACCUUCAUGCAUGUGAUGACCUUAUUCAUGUAGGUGAUUCACCUUCUUCAUGCAUGUGAUGACCCUAUCCAUGUAUGUGAUUCACCUUCUUCAUGCAUGUGAUGACCUUAUUCACGUAUGUGAUUUGCCUUCUUCAUGCAUGUGAUUACCUUAUACAUGUAUAUGACUCACCUUCAUGUAUGUGAUGACCUUAUUCACAUGUGACUCGCCUUCUUCAUGCAUGUGAUGACCUUAUUCACAUGUGACUCGCCUUCAUGCAUGUGACGACCUUAUCCAUGUAUGUGACUCACCUUCUUCAUGCAUGUGAUGACCUUAUCCAUGUAUGCGACUCACCUUCUUCAUGCAUGUGAUGACUUUAUCUAUGAAUGUGACUCAUUGUUUGUCUUCCCAUCCCCCUAAAACAUAAACUCAAUGAGAGCAAGGCCUUUGUCUACUUCUUUUUAAUCAGCAUAUCCCCAGUGCCUAGCUCAGUACACCAUAAGUACUCAAAACUACGUGUUGAAUCGUUGGGAAUGAAGGCCAAGGGGGAGUCAGGGUGGGAAGGACCCUGACAGAGGGUGACAGGUGCCUGCCCCAUCCCACCGAUCUUAACAGGAAUCACCCCCUGACUUCCCCUCUGACAGGUCCCAGGACGGCCUCACCAAGAGGUGCAUGGCCAUGACCCAUUCACCUUCAUAACUCCCAGAUGCACCAAGUUGCCAUGGAGAAGGCCCAGAUGAGGUCCCUGGGCUGCACCAGCUUGCCAGCAGGUACAGAGCAGCGGGUGGGGGCCGCUGGCUGGCCCUGCCACGCACCCCUCAGGCUCCCGCUCCUGCCUCCCCGAGCCUCAGUCCUUUUAGCUCUCAUUUGUAAGUGGGCCUCAACCCAAGCGCAAGAUUCAGUGGGAAUCCGGCCGGGUUCCCCGACGCUUAAUUGGAGCUGGGCUCUUCAUUACCCGCACACCUGUUCCCCAACACCAUAUGGUCUGAGGUAAAUAGACUAUAAUUGUUUAUCCAGAGUCUGUUCUGCCGUGAGUGAGUGAGUGCAGGGCCGCCUCCGCCGCCACCUCCACCUCCCCCGCCAUCACACCUGCCACUGAUCCCUCACCGGGCUGCUGAAGGACGAAGCCCCACACAAGGUUAAAGAGUUUACAGCUGUCCCGGCAGAGCCAUCUUCCACGUCUGGGGCCCAUCUUGGAGCAGCUUCUCCAGCUCCAAGGAAAAGUCCCUGCCCAGCUAUGCAACUGCCGGGAGCUUGGCAGCCGGGUCUCUCUGCCCUUCCAGUGUGGCUGAGCAGCCGGGCCCCUCGCUAGCCCUGGGAUCAUUUAUCUCUUUCCCUGUGGAAGCUGGAGGACGUCUGAGAAGGGCCUGGGCUUUGGAGCCUGGAAGGCAUGGGCCUCACCUGCAUCUCCGCGCGGCCACUUUCCAAUUUAGUGGCCUCAGCCUUCCGCCGGCAGCAGCUCCAGAUAAAGAAUGCAGAGUAUGUGCUUCAGUGUCACAAACUGUGCCUAGCCACCAUCCAUCAUCCUGUCAAGACAUCACUCCAGACAGCCCGGCUUCAAGCAGAACCAGGUUGGGGAUUUUCCUCCCAAGAAUAACAAACAGCAGCUAAGUCAGGGCGUAGAGCAGCAAAAGUCACCAACCCUCAUCCAGUUCAAGAAGCCUCUAAAUGUCACGUAAGUUUAUGCAACCCUUGGCAGGUAGGAUAUGGAGUUUGGAAUAGCAGAAAUUCUUUGCAAGUAGAGAGCAUUUAUAAAAUUCAUCCACGUACCUUAUCCUGUUGAUCUUUACGGCCACCCUAUAAGGCAGGGAUUGUAUUCCCCAGUUGCCAGUUGAGCUGAAUGAGACUCAGAGAAGUUAAGUGAGUUCUCCAAGGUCACAUAGAGUCAGGGGAAGUUGGGGUCUGCUCCCAGUUCUUUUGACUCUAAAUCAUGCACUCCUGGUACUCCUUAUGUUGCAGCUAUUCUUUCUUCCCCAUACUCCUCCUCUCCUCAAACUGUGUCUCUCUGUUGCUAUCUGUCUUUCCAUACCUAGUCCCGAGCAUACAGUGAAGGUCUGACCAUCUCAGAAGCUGCAUGGAGGGAGGGUCUGGCCAUCUCAGAAGCUUCAUGGAGGGAGGGGCUGGCCAUCUCUGUAGCUGCAUAGAGGGAGGGGCUGGCCAUCUCAGAAGUUCCAUGGAGAGAGGGGCUGGGCAUGUCACUGGCUGCAUGGAGGGAGGGGCUGGCCAUCUCAGAAGCUGCAUGGAGGGAGGGGCUGGCCAUCUCAGAAGCUGCAUGGAGGGAAGGGCUGGCCAUCUCAGAAGCUGCAUGGAGUCGGGGUCUGGCCAUCUCAGUGGCUGCAUGGAUUGGGGGACUGGCCAUCUCUGUAGCUGCCCUUGAUUGUCUCCAGAGAGGCACUGACUGAUCAUCGGCGAGUCUGCCUUCCCCUCCUCUGAAUCAUAACCAACCAGGAUCAGCGAGGCUGGAGCUAUGAGGGGGUUGCUUAGAGUGAUCUAGUUCUCCUCUUUGAUUGGAUAGAUCCAGGAGCCAGCUGAGGCCAGCACAGUUCUCUCCCUAGUGAAUGUGACAAUAGGCCUGGGUCCUGAUUCCCCACAUCCUACUGCCUAACAUGAUGCACCCAUCAUCUCCAACCAAGAGACAGGGAUCAGAGACUCAACAUGUUAGCAAACUACAACUCACCCACAUGCAAGCCAGCUGUCCAAUGGGAAUUCUCCUGAUUGAGUGAUGGGGUGGACUGAGGUUUCACACUUGCUUCCUCCAGUGAUGCAGAGCACCAUUUCCAAACCCAAAUAGUCCUCUGGCUCCCAAAAUGAGGGAGAAGAUAGGAGGGGAAGGAGGAGCUAAGCUGCACCCAUUAUCAGUGAGCACAGGUGCAGGAGAGAGGGGGUGCCAGACACAUCUCCACCUCCAUCCCUGGAUCUGUGAUUGACAGGCGCUCAUGUAAUUCACAGAGGCCAAAGGGGAUGAGGUAGGCAGAAUAACAGCCCCCUAAAGAUACCCAUGUUCUAAUCCCUAGAACAUGUGAAUGUUAACCUUAUAUGGCAAGAAAAGGAUUUUAUAGAUGUGAUUAAGUUUAAGUUCUAAAAAUGGAGAGGUUAUCCCGGAUUAUCUGAGUGGGUCCGAUCCGCAAUCACGAGACGGAGGCAGAGGCAGAUGAUCGACCCCAGACAGGAGAGGAGAAUGCAGCAGGGCCCGCAGAGGCAGAGGCUGGAAUGGAGCAGCCCCAAGACAAAGCAUGCUGGCCACCACCAGAAGCCAGAGUACAUGAGGCACAGACCCUUCCCUGGAGCCUCCAGGGAAGCACAGCCCUGCUGACACCUUGAUUUGCGCCCAUUGAGACUUAUUUUGGACCUUUGGCCUCUAGAACUGUGACAGAAUACACUUCUGUUUUUUACACACUUUGUGUGUAAGACUGUGUUACCGCAGUUGCAGGAAACUCACACCAGGGACUAGAGCAGCACUGGCGGUGACCGCUGGUGCUGGCAGAUCUGUCCAAGUGGACCAGGCCCUGGUUCCACAAGUGAGGCCCUCAUGCAGAGGGCGGGUCUGCACACCUGGAAGGGAGGUGGUGAUUAGGUAAUGAACAGUUCUUCCAUUCCUGUCCCAAUUGAACAUGGUGGUCCCCUCUCUCCUAUUCACCCUCGUCCAGCCUCCUCCCCACCAACCCCAUCUGCCUCCCGAAAGGGCACUUACCUUCACCUUGCUGCUGCUCUGAUGUAUUUGUUUUUGCACUGCUAUAAAUAAAUACCUGAGCCUGGGUAAUUUCUAAAGACAAGAGGUUGAAUUGGCUCAUGGUCCUGCAGGCUGUACAGGAAGCAUGGCGGCAUCUGCUUCUGGGGAGGCCUGAGGGAGUUUUACUCAUGGUGGAAGGCAAAGUGGGAGCAGGCGUCUUACACGGCAGGUGCAGGACCCAGAGAGAGAACAGGGAAGUGCCACACACUUUUAAACAACCAGAUGUCACUAGAACUCACUCACUGUCUCAAGAACAGCACCCAGGGGGUUGGUGUUAAUCCAUUCAUGAGAAUCCACCCCCAUCAUUCAGUCACCUCCCACAAGGCCCCACCUCCAGCACUGGGGAUUACAUCUCCACCUGAGAUUUGGGUGGGGACACCGAUUCAAACCACAUCACCCGAUAUUUACCCAUAGGUCUCAGGGCUUCUGCCCUCUCCCCAGGGUGUCAAUAUAGGCUAAGUCUAUGGUCUGUCCAGGAACCCAAGCCUGAAGCAGGGGGCCUGACUGUACAUUGUGAAGUCUGACAUGGGUGGUGAGUGUCCGCCUCACUCCCUGCCACCUCCCUGCAUCGGAGGUGAGUGGAGCCAACUCACCUUCUUCUUCCUCAAGGCCCCACUGAGACCCAGGACCAGCCCCAGGGUCUUGUGAACUCUCCCUUCUUUCCUGCCUGUCCCCACCUGCCACACACACACACACACACACACACACACACACACACAGAGAGAGAGUCAAAGGUUAAGAGGCACUUUUUUCUUUCUUUCUUUCUUUCUUUUUGUGAUGGAGUAUUGCUCCAUCACAAAAGAGAUCUUGGCUGCAGGCUGAUCUCGGCUCACUGCAAACUGUGCCUCCUGGGUUCAAGUGAUUAUCCUGUCUCAGCCUCCUGAGUAGCUGGGAUUACAGGUAAGCUCCAUCACAGCCAGGUAAUUUUUGUGUUUUUAGUAGAGAUAGGGUUUCACCAUAUUGGCCAGGCUGGUCUCGAACUCCUGACCUCAGGUAAUCCCCCCGCCUCAGCCUCCCAAAGUGCUGGGAUUACAGGCAUGAGCCACUGUGCCCGGCCAAGAGGCACUUGUUAAAGACCACAUCCUUACAGGUGGAGAGGGUGCCUGGAGGGGGGAUGCUACAGGGUGAGGAGGUGGUGGGCAGAGCUGUUCACCUGAAAAUGGCACGCACAUGGCCCGGGGGUAAAAGUGGUGAGUAAGGGGGGGCAGGGCAGGAGGGCAUCACGGGACUCAGCUUGAAGGUGAAGAGUGAGGGAAUAGGAAGAGAAGGAGGGCCAGGGCCACAGGAGCAGAGUUCAACAUAGAGAGAAGCCAGCCUCCUGGAUCAGGUGCCUGUGUAGUGACCCCUCCCGAAGGAGGAAAAGGUGGUCAGCAGAGGAGAUGAGCCGGUAGAAACCAGGCAGCCUUUGGAGGUGCCUGGCAACAGGGAGCAACAGUGGAGUUCAUGCGAAGUGGCUGGGCAGCUGAAACACGGUCCAGAGAAGCCCAUUAAUCAUUCAUUCAUUCAUUCAUCCAGGAAAACACUCACUGGGCUCUGACUGACUGGGCUAGGCUCUGGAGAUACAGAGAUGGGUGAGAAACAGUCCGUGAUUUCCAGACAUUUGAGCCAGGCAGAGAGAUGGCAGUGCUACCAGUUCCGCUGUGGGAGGCUGGCCAGGUUCUGUGGGUACCAACUCCACGUGAAUAGCUCUGUCUUCUCCUUCCUCUGCCUGUUGCACCCACCCCUCCAGGCACCUGCUCUACCUGAGGAGACAUGGUUUUGAAGAAGUUCCACUUAACCUUUGAGUGUGUGGCGAGUGGGGAUGGAUGGGCAUCCAGUCUCCUGGGGGUGGUAGGAGAGCACUUUCUCCUCAUAGUGACCCUAAACCUGCAUCUUGAAAUGUAAUUCAAACUGAAUAUGCAAGCAAGAGGUGGGGGCCGUGCAGGCAGAUGGUGUCCCAGGACCAGGCACAGAGGCCUGAAUGCAGCUGCUCCCUGUGUGGCUGGAGCAGCAGGUGGAAGGGCCAUUGGCUGCGCUGGAUGCAGAAGGAUGCUGUCCCAAGAGGUCUGGACAUUCUCUCAGGGGCAACGCUGUUCAGGUGGAGCAAGCUUCUUUUUGUGUUUUAUAAAAGUAGGAAAGAUGCAUGGGUGAGGGGAGGGGUGGGAACAGAGCAGAGGGAGGGAGGGAGAUCACCUGGAGGCUGUUGUCACAGACCAUGCAUUCCAUAAGGGGGUGACAUCACCCCCAAAGUGGCAAAAUUGGUUCUUGGGGCGUGCCAGAAAUCUUACCUUUAUGUUUAAAGGCAUAAAAAUACACACAGCAUAGAAACAGACACACAGUCUAUCUGUGGCAUUGCAAUUUCAUAGGGGCAGGUGAUUAGGAAAAGACUUCUUGACAGGGAAUAAUGAAAAGAAGAUUGGCCGACACUGACCUAUGCUGUGCAGGCCGUGUGAAAACACAGAAUGACACACAGGGAAGAAGUCCUUGUGAAGACAGAGGCAGAGGCGGAGGCGAUGCAGCCACAAGCCAAGGAAUGCCAAGGAUUGCCUGGAGCCCCAGGAGCAAGGAGGGAUCCUCUUGCGGAGCCUUCAGAGGGAGCACUGCCCUGCAACAUCUCGAUUUUGGAUUUCCAGCCUCUAGAACUGUGAAAGAAUAAAUCCCUUGUUUUAAGUCUCCCAGUUUGUGGUACUUUGCAAUGGCAACUGCAAACAGCAGGUUCUGUUUGGGUCCCUUGGUUUGGAGGUUCCUGUGGAAUGUGCAGCUUGACAGAUCCAAUAGAGACCUGCAGUUUAAGGAAGCAGUGAUGGGUGGAGACACUGAUUGCCACCAGCGUGCAAGCAGCAGUGGGAAGAAGGAACUUGGCUGAGAUGAUUCAGGGUGAAAGUGGAGUGUGAGAAAGGCAGGGAGAUCAGGACCAACCCCAAGGAAAUACCAUUCAAGGACAAGCAUGAAAGAUGCCCCCUUAAAAGGAGACACCAAUGAAUGAAUAAAUGGGGAAACAGAGAGAAUAGUGUCCCAGGACCCAUGGAAGGAGAGAAUAAAAACCAGCAAAAACACUCUGCAGUCCCAGGACCGGCCUCACUCAGUGCUGGGAUCCUUGGGAAGUUGCUGCAAGGAGUAUAAAGCCGUGGCAUCCAUGCCCAAGGAUAUCACAAGGGGGCACGAAGCCAAGACAUAAACAAGCAAAUUUUAAAUCACCCUCAAAGAGUUAACUAUCAGCACAAGGCUACAGGAGAAAAAAAAAUGAUGUCUCAAGGCAGCACAGUGGAUGAUUAAUUAACGAACGAAUUGCACAGGCUAAAAUUAUAUAAGAGUUCAGAGGACAGAGAAAGCACUUAGGGCUUCAAUUGUCGGGGAUGGAUUUGCUGAGAGGUAAGAUUGGACCUGAGUUUUGAAGAAGGAGGAUAUAACUUGUACAGGAAGACACGUGAGGAAGAGCUGGUUGGGAACUGCCAGGCUGGGAGAGGAGAAAAAAAAAAAAGACAAUAACUCAGGGUGCAUUUGGGCAGAGGGGAGACAGGGAAACUGGUGCAAGGAGUGGGUGCUCAGGGGUGAGGCUUGGAGGUCAUGGUACAAAGAGGCCUUUCUACCUCAACUAGAAAGUUGAUGCUGGGCGCAAUGGCUCACGCCUGUAAUCCCAGCACUUUGGGAGGCCGAGGCGGGUGGAUCAUGAGGUCAGGAGAUCGAGACCAUCCUGACUAACAUGGUGAAACCCAGUCUCUACUAAGAAUACAAAAAAUUAGUCAGGCAUGGUGGCAGGCGCCUGUAGUCCCAGCAACUGGGGAGGCUGAGGCAGCAGAAUGGCGUGAACCCGGGAGGCGAAGCUUGCAGUGAGCCAAGAUUGUGCCACUGCACUCCAGCCUGGGCGGCAGCAAGAGACUCUGUCUCAAAAAAAAAAAAAAAAAAAAAAAAAGAAGGGUUACCUGAGGGUUUGCAGGUGAGACCAACAGUUCCAGAUAGGUCCUUCCCUGGUUUGGGACAAAUAGAAGAUUUUAAACAGGGAAGUGAUAUAUCCAAAGCAGUAUACUAAAGUGAAUCUGCUGGUAGGGUGAAUUAAAGAGGUGUAGAGGGAAAGAAGAAAAGUCAUUGGUUGGGGAGGUCAUGAACAGUGAGCAGAUGAGAGUGCUGGUGGCAGGAAUGGAAAAGAAGCCAGCGGAUGAGAAAGAAGUUUCUGGAGAAGAAUGGAUGGACAGGAAGACUCGAGGUAUGAGACAGAGGAGCAGAGAGGGACCAGGGGGACUUUGCCUGCCAGCUGUAGUGCUCAGACUCUGGGCUGGGGAGCCCCAAAACCACCCCACACCUACCCACACAGGAGUACUUUGUCUGUUUGCUUUUAUUUUACUUUAUUUUGUUUUACUUUAUAUUUUGUUUUUGCCCUGGUGUGGGACCAGCAGGGCUUGAACCCCAGAGCUCUACUCAGUAGCAGCAUCUGAGAUGGUGUGGGGAGCUCCGACUCCUCACGCGGCCUCGUGAACUAGGUGACACCCAACUCUACCCCUCCAUGCGACCCUCAAUGGAACUGCCUCCUGCACAGCCUGCAGGGCACGAGCUGUCUGCUCCUUAUCUCCCACAGCGCCUUCUGCAAUAAACAGACCAAAGUGGGAACUGGAAGAGAGAAAUUCAUUCUCAUUUCCUCUCCCCAAUUCAGAGCUGUAUCUUGCCCACAGGCCUAUUUUGCAAUCUCUCCUCUGGCACGUUUUAAUAUUUAUAGCUGCGUGGACAGAAUGUGGAGUGUGAGGGCUUGUCAGCAUCAGGAGCAGAGACUUAGGAGAGCUGUCACCCACCCGAGGCCCCAGAGAUCUUCAGGAGCUGUCCCCAGGGCCAUCACUGGGCAGCCCCAUCUGAGAGGGCCGUGGUGGUCAUCUGGUCACUCCCUGUCCCCACCCAAGUUUCACCUUCAUGUCAUUGUUCUCUUCCACGUCCUGCAUUGCCACCAACCCAACCCCAAUUACCCUACUGCUUGUGAGGACCAAUUUUCCUUCCUUCAUUAAAAUAUUCUUCAUUGGUUUAU